CCAGUAGUUCGUUCUGUCGCCAUGCGAUAUGCGUGGAGGAAAGUCGGGACAACAUAGAGCACCAUGCUUCCUAACAGGAAGGGUCCCGUUUAUGCGGGAUACAGACAGUGCCACAGAAAAUAACCGCCCGUUGGGGCAAUCCGUUGGAUCGCCCACACGUGCAAGGGUGAAAACGUGGUGUAAGAGACCACGGUACUGCCGGGUGACCGGUAGUGCGGGUAAACCUCAUGGGUUGAAAGACCAUGUAUAUCCCGGUGAUGAAAAUCACCUGGUCGCUCGCCAGGGCCGCAAGGUACCGGGAGGGGUAGGUCGCUAAAACCGUCCGGCGACGGGCGGUUCAGAUAAAUGACAGAAUCCCUUCGGGGAACAGAAUCCCGCUUACAGAACUGCUGGUAUU
rnacentral:RNase_P_RNA from 1 species